rnacentral:rRNA from 1 species
AGUGAACGCUGGCGGUAGGCCUAACACAUGCAAGUCGAACGGCAGCACAGUAAGAGCUUGCUCUUACGGGUGGCGAGUGGCGGACGGGUGAGGAAUACAUCGGAAUCUACUUUUUCGUGGGGGAUAACGUAGGGAAACUUACGCUAAUACCGCAUACGACCUACGGGUGAAAGCAGGGGAUCUUCGGACCUUGCGCGAUUGAAUGAGCCGAUGUCGGUUUAGCUAGUUGGCGGGGUAAAGGCCCACCAAGGCGACGAUCCGUAGCUGGUCUGAGAGGAUGAUCAGCCACACUGGAACUGAGACACGGUCCAGACUCCUACGGGAGGCAGCAGUGGGGAAUAUUGGACAAUGGGCGCAAGCCUGAUCCAGCCAUACCGAGUGGGUGAAGAAGGCCUUCGGGUUGUAAAGCCCUUUUGUUGGGAAAGAAAAGCAGCAGGUUAAUACCCCGCUGUUCUGACGGUACCCAAAGAAUAAGCACCGGCUAACUUCGUG